rnacentral:rRNA from 1 species
UACGUAGGGGGCAAGCGUUGUCCGGAAUCAUUGGGCGUAAAGCGCGUGUAGGCGGUCCGGUAAGUCCGCUGUGAAAGUCGGGGGCUUAACCCUCGGAUGCCGGUGGAUACUGUCGGGCUUGAGUACGGAAGAGGCGAGUGGAAUUCCUGGUGUAGCGGUGAAAUGCGCAGAUAUCAGGAGGGACACCAAUUGCGAAGGCAGCUCGCUGGGACGUUACUGACGCUGAGACGCGAAAGCGUGGGGAGCAAACAGG